AAGAGAAAGCUUCGCUUCCGGAGCACCCGGAAGAGGCUCACAGUCCCGGCAACCCGAGAAGAGGCCGGCAGAGAGCAGUGUUGGAGAGCAGAUGGGAUUACCGGAGGCUCUUUGGCGGGAGCCCAGAGAAUAAAAUCUGUGCUUUCCUCAACCCAGUAGAGCUCCACAAAAGAGUCCACAUAUGGUCUGAAAACCACCUCCCUAAUAUUAGUCAGCUGGCCAGCUGGAGCCCCAGGCCAGUCUUGUGCCUCCAAAGGAGUUGGCAGGUGAGGACCCCAAGGCUGCAAACAACGAGCAACCUGCCCAAGCUCAUGCAGCCAGGAAGUAUCAAAAUGGAGACUGGAACCUAGAACUUCUGACUUCAAGGGCCCCAGGUA